rnacentral:rRNA from 1 species
AGAGUUUGAUCCUGGCUCAGAAUCAACGCUGGCGGCGCGCUUAACACAUGCAAGUCGAACGAGAAAGGGGAGCAAUCCCUGAGUAAAGUGGCGUACGGGUGAGUAACACGUGGGUAAUCUACCUUUUGGUGGGGAAUAACGCUGGGAAACCGGCGCUAACACCGCAUAAGCUCGAAAGAGGAAAAGAGAAAUCUGCCGAAAAAGGAGCCCGCGGCUGAUUAGCUAGUUGGUGAGGUAAAGGCUCACCAAGGCAAUGAUCGGUAGCCGGCCUGAGAGGGCACACGGCCACACUGGCACUGAAACACGGGCCAGACUCCUACGGGAGGCAGCAGUGGGGAAUCUUGCACAAUGGGGGAAACCCUGAUGCAGCGACGCCGCGUGAGUGAUGAAGCCCUUCGGGGUGUAAAGCUCUUUCGGCAGGGACGAUAAUGACGGUACCUGAAGAAGAAGCUGCGGCUAACUACGUGCCAGCAGCCGCGGUAAUACGUAGGCAGCGAGCGUUGUUCGGAGUUAUGGCGUAAAGAGUGCGUAGGCGGUUUUCUAAGUUUGGUGUGAAAUCUCCCGGCUCAACUGGGAGGGUGCCCGAAGACUGGAAGGCUAGAGUGUGGGAGAGGUAAGCGGAAUUCCUGGUGUAGCGGUGAAAUGCGUAGAUAUCAGGAGGAACACCUGCGGUGUAGACGGCUUACUGGACCAUAACUGACGCUGAGGCACGAAAGCGUGGGUAGCAAACAGGAUUAGAUACCCUAGUAGUCC